rnacentral:rRNA from 1 species
CGUAGGAGGCAAGCGUUAUCCGGAUUCACUGGGCGUAAAGCGCGUGCAGGUGGCGCGGUAAGUUAGGCGUGAAAUCUCCCGGCUCAACUGGGAGAGGUCGUCUAAUACUACCGUGCUUGAGAGCAGAAGAGGAAGAUGGAAUUCCCGGUGUAGUGGUGAAAUGCGUAGAUAUCGGGAGGAACACCAGUGGCGAAGGCGAUCUUCUGGUCUGUUUCUGACACUCAGACGCGACAGCUAGGGUAGUAAACGGGAUUAGAGACCCCGGUAAUCCUAGCCGUAAACGAUGUGAACUUGGCGUUGGUGGGUUAAACUCCAUCAGUGCCGUAGCAAACGCGAUAAGUUCACCGCCUGGGGACUACGGCCGCAAGGUU